rnacentral:rRNA from 1 species
AGCGAACGCUGGCGGCAGGCUUAACACAUGCAAGUCGAACGGAUCCUUCGGGAUCAGUGGCAGACGGGUGAGUAACACGUGGGAACGUGCCUUUUGGUUCGGAACAACUCAGGGAAACUUGAGCUAAUACCGGAUGUGCCCUUCGGGGGAAGGAUUUAUCGCCAUUAGAGCGGCCCGCGUCUGAUUAGCUAGUUGGUGAGGUAAAGGCUCACCAAGGCUUCGAUCAGUAGCUGGCUGAGAGGAUGAUCAGCCACACUGGAACUGAGACACGGUCCAGACUCCUACGGGAGGCAGCAGUGGGGAAUAUUGGACAAUGGGCGCAAGCCUGAUCCAGCCAUGCCGCGUGGGUGAAGAAGGCCUCCGGGUUGUAA